rnacentral:rRNA from 1 species
GGUCCACCUCCCACCCGUGUUUAUUUUACCUUGUUGCUUCGGCGGGCCCGCCUUAACUGGCCGCCGGGGGGCUCACGCCCCCGGGCCCGCGCCCGCCGAAGACACCCUCGAACUCUGUCUGAAGAUUGAAGUCUGAGUGAAAAUAUAAAUUAUUUAAAACUUUCAACAACGGAUCUCUUGGUUCCGGCAUCGAUGAAGAACGCAGCGAAAUGCGAUACGUAAUGUGAAUUGCAAAUUCAGUGAAUCAUCGAGUCUUUGAACGCACAUUGCGCCCCCUGGUAUUCCGGGGGGCAUGCCUGUCCGAGCGUCAUUGCUGCCCUCAAGCCCGGCUUGUGUGUUGGGCCCCGUCCUCCGAUUUCCGGGGGACGGGCCCGAAAGGCAGCGGCGGCACCGCGUCCGGUCCUCGAGCGUAUGGGGCUUUGUCACCCGCUCUGUAGGCCCGGCCGGCGCUUGCCGAUCAACCCAAAUUUUUAUCCAGGUUGACCUCGGAUCAGGUAGGGAUACCCGCUGAACUUAAGCAUAUCAAUAAGCGGAGGAA